GAGUAAUGUCUGGGAAACUGCCUGAUGGAGGGGGAUAACUACUGGAAACGGUGGCUAAUACCGCAUAACGUCGCAAGACCAAAGAGGGGGACCUUCGGGCCUCUUGCCAUCAGAUGUGCCCAGAUGGGAUUAGCUUGUUGGUGAGGUAACGGCUCACCAAGGCGACGAUCCCUAGCUGGUCUGAGAGGAUGACCAGCCACACUGGAACUGAGACACGGUCCAGACUCCUACGGGAGGCAGCAGUGGGGAAUAUUGCACAAUGGGCGCAAGCCUGAUGCAGCCAUGCCGCGUGUAUGAAGAAGGCCUUCGGGUUGUAAAGUACUUUCAGCGGGGAGGAAGGUGUUGUGGUUAAUAACCGCAGCAAUUGACGUUACCCGCAGAAGAAGCACCGGCUAACUCCGUGCCAGCAGCCGCGGUAAUACGGAGGGUGCAAGCGUUAAUCGGAAUUACUGGGCGUAAAGCGCACGCAGGCGGUCUGUCAAGUCGGAUGUGAAAUCCCCGGGCUCAACCUGGGAACUGCAUUCGAAACUGGCAGGCUUGAGUCUUGUAGAGGGGGGUAGAAUUCCAGGUGUAGCGGUGAAAUGCGUAGAGAUCUGGAGG
rnacentral:rRNA from 1 species